UCUGUUCAAUGCUCUGAGUUUCAAAGUAAAGAAAUUCAAACAAGCGCGGACAAACAGCGGGAGUAAGUAUCACUUUCCUAAGGUAGCCAUAUGCCCUUCAGUAACCGGCAUGAAUGG
rnacentral:ncRNA from 1 species